AUUAUGAGGUGUCUGUUUGACACCAGAGAGGUGAUGUCAAAUAGGCACCUGUCUAGAAGCCUGGGAGAAGGUCCUGCUUAGAGAUAAAGAUUGAAGGGUCAUCUGUGUGUAGAGGGCUUUUAAAGCCACAGACUAGCUGAGGUCAUUCUGGAUGCAGAAGGUAGGUAGAGAAUGGGUUGCUAAGCCCACCUAGAGCAGGAGGAGCAGUGGUGAACCAUGCAGGUGUGAGAUGGAAGCUGUGAGAAAGGCCUGGCAUUCAGGUCUUAAAAUUUUGGUAGCAGAGAGCAAAUGUGCAGAGAGCAAUGGAAAACAAGUCAGAAGCUGCUGUCUGAUUCCAGAGAUGGUCACAUUUUAUGCAAAAAGAAAAAAGUAAUUUACAUUUGAUCACCUUGAGAUCUUCAAUUUGUCAUUGUGAUAUCUUAAGUAACUAAUGAUUAAGUGAAAUAAAUCUUGGGAAAAUAGAUCACAAAUGGAAUGAGGACUUUGCAUUGUAAGAAACCCACAACUCUUUUCUUUUCACAACAUGACCUUUUAAAAAAGUACCUUAUUGCAGGCUUGUGAAGGUGGCUGGCCUCUGAGCACUGGGCACAUGCCUGAAAGUGAUAGGCCUUUUUUAUUUACCUUGAUCCGCUGGAAUUAAACAGUCAUGCUUAUAUUCAGUUAGUUUGAGGUUUGGUUGGAAUUCAGUUCCAAAUUGGGGAAAGAAAUGAGCAUCCAGCCCCUCUUCCUCAUAUUGUCCAACUUGCCUUAUGAGACUCAUAUGCACAGUAUUCCCUGUUUGAACUGAAGUCACUCACUUGACUCUGUCCCUGCAGUAGUCCUUAAGGAAGGUACACGAACAGAUUAUCUUGAGACUUCCUUCUGCAUCAGUAGUUUUGAUAAUUUCAAGGCCACUGUGGAAUUCACCUGUAGUCUGUUAGGACCUUAUCUUACUUAGGAACAUUAGUCCUUUUAUUCACGCACCCUCCAGUAUCCCUUUGGAAUGCUGUGUUUUGCUAACCCAUGAAACUGGUCUAGAAAGUACAGUAGCAAGUGCUGGGAAUUGAAGUCCACCUUCCUAGUGCUGUGCUUCACAAAUAGUCUCUAGCUGGGGGCCUCUCAGAGCAUGGUGUUCUGUUAUAUCAAUAUGUACUUAGACAUGCUAAUCUGUAUUAGAGAGCCGAUAUACAUAAUGACUCCCCUGGGAUGCUAUAUUAGAAAAAAAAAAAACCAAAAACUGAAGUAGUUUGCUGAAUAUGCAUAGUAAGCUAAAAAAUAAAAUCCUUCUAAAAUGAGCGUUAAUUGAAUCUGGACCUUGAUCAUCUUUGAACCUCUAAUUUUUAAUUUGAUCCUUUAAAAAAGUUAUAGGUUCUUGAAGACAAAAUCUACAAUUCAAUAAAAGUUAUGCUGUAGUGAUUGCCUAAAGACUGAACAAAGCCCAAUUUUGAGGUAUUAUUGCUCCAUGUAUACACAGCAUGUGUGGGGUAGAUGUAUAUACAUGUACAUGUACAUGCAUACACAUACCAACUGUAUGCUUAAUCUAUGCUAUAGUUUGCCUUUAUUUAGAUUUCUCCUCUCUCUGCCUUUAGAAAUGGGGCAAAUUUUCUUCAGUUAAAAACAGAAAUAGAAGCGGCGGCCUUGACCCAUUUUACACCUGUUUAUUUCAGGCUCUCACCACACACUUGUUCAUGGGCACAGCAAGAAAAGGGAUCCACAGAGCGGGAGCUGUGAGGUCUGACACAUUGGGGUGAAGCUGGCAAAAUUCGUAGGGAGAGCUUUACCAUUCUGCCAGCUCCAUAUCUAGCCUCAAGACAGUUCUAUUAGUAAAUUAAUUGUACUCAAAACCUCAAAUUCAUUUGAACCGAAUGUUACUAAAAAUGAAAUAGAUCAAAGUGACCUCCUCUUGCCUCAUCCAGAGUGAUCGUGAAGGAGCCCGUGGCCUCAUUUAUCUCUGGAGAGCAGGUCUCCACCUGUGUGCCUCCUGGUCCUGGGGGUUCUUCGUGCCUGUCCCUGAUGCUGUUCUGCCCGAAGUCCCUCAGCAGGCUUCCAUUUCUUACUGGCACUUCCCUCCCCUGUAAUCUCUUUAUGUUGAUUACUGUUUGUCUCCCACAAGAAUGGAAGCUCCAUGAGAGCAGGGUCUCCGUCUUGUUCCAUGUCCCAGUGCAUAGGACAGUGCCUGGCACAGUGGAGUUUCAAUAAACGUUAUUGAAUGAA